AGUGAACGCUGGCGGUAGGCCUAACACAUGCAAGUCGAACGGCAGCACAGUAAGAGCUUGCUCUUACGGGUGGCGAGUGGCGGACGGGUGAGGAAUACAUCGGAAUCUACUUUUUCGUGGGGGAUAACGUAGGGAAACUUACGCUAAUACCGCAUACGACCUACGGGUGAAAGCAGGGGAUCUUCGGACCUUGCGCGAUUGAAUGAGUCGAUGUCGGAUUAGCUAGUUGGCGGGGUAAAGGCCCACCAAGGCGACGAUCCGCAGCUGGUCUGAGAGGAUGAUCAGCCACACUGGAACUGAGACACGGUCCAGACUCCUACGGGAGGCAGCAGUGGGGAAUAUUGGACAAUGGGCGCAAGCCUGAUCCAGCCAUACCGCGUGGGUGAAGAAGGCCUUCGGGUUGUAAAGCCCUUUUGUUGGGAAAGAAAAGCAGCAGGUUAAUACCCCGCUGUUCUGACGGUACCCAAAGAAUAAGCACCGGCUAACUUCGUG
rnacentral:rRNA from 1 species